GCGUAUACGUAGGUGGCAAGCGUUGUCCGGAAUUAUUGGGCGUAAAGCGCGCGCAGGCGGUCUUUUAAGUCUGAUGUGAAAGCCCACGGCUCAACCGUGGAGGGUCAUUGGAAACUGGAGGACUUGAGUGCAGAAGAGGAGAGUGGAAUUCCACGUGUAGCGGUGAAAUGCGUAGAUAUGUGGAGGAACACCAGUGGCGAAGGCGGCUCUCUGGUCUGUAACUGACGCUGAGGCGCGAAAGCGUGGGGAGCAAACAGGAUUAGAUACCCUGGUAGUCCACGCCGUAAACGAUGAGUGCUAGGUGUUGGGGGGUUCCACCCUCAGUGCUGAAGUUAACACAUUAAGCACUCCGCCUGGGGAGUACGACCGCAAGGUUGAAACUCAAAGGAAUUGACGGGGGCCCGCACAAGCAGUGGAGCAUGUGGUUUAAUUCGAAGCAACGCGAAGAACCUUACCAGGUCUUGACAUCCUCUGACAAUCCUGGAGACAGGACGUUCCCCUUCGGGGGACAGAGUGACAGGUGGUGCAUGGUUGUCGUCAGCUCGUGUCGUGAGAUGUUGGGUUAAGUCCCGCAACGAGCGCAACCCUUGAUCUUAGUUGCCAGCAUUUAGUUGGGCACUCUAAGGUGACUGCCGGUGACAAACCGGAGGAAGGUGGGGAUGACGUCAAAUCAUCAUGCCCCUUAUGACCUGGGCUACACACGUGCUACAAUGGACGGUACAAAGGGCAGCAACACCGCGAGGUGAAGCAAAUCCCAUAAAGCCGUUCUCAGUUCGGAUUGCAGGCUGCAACUCGCCUGCAUGAAGCCGGAAUUGCUAGUAAUCGCGGAUCAGCUGCCGC
rnacentral:rRNA from 1 species